rnacentral:lncRNA from 1 species
UGAAUUGUGAAAUAUAUUCCAGUAAAAUUAAAUUGAUCAAUUUCAGAUUGGUACUCGUUCUUCUUAGAUAUGUCCAAUCGUAUCCUUAGUAAUUGGUUGCAUAGAUGUAUAUAUGCGUACACAGAAAUUUUCUACAUGAUAAUAUAAUACUAUUCAAAUGCAUGUAAGACUUUAUGUAUUCGGGUGCUGGUAGAAUUUUCCAUCAUACAGAUGUUACAUCAUUCUCUACAUGAAAAAGAGAAUUACACAAAUCAUACAACUAGUACACAUACUUGUCAAGAAGCAUAAUAAGACCACUAAUUAAAAGCAUAAGCAGAGCUUAUCGAGUAUCACAGAGAAAAAAAGAAAGAAACAGUGAAAAAAACAAUAUUGCUAGUAGCUAGUGCAUGGCAUAUGUAUGCAUAUAAAAUAACCAGCAAAAUAUUGCUACUGAUGCAUGCCCUUAAAGUAACUGUGCCCUACGCCGGAGCUUGGACCGGAGUCUCUAACAUAGGCCGGAAACUGAGCCUUGCCUGAUCUGUGUCCUGGACCACCAUGGCUUGGCCCUGAAUGCUUAAUGCUUUUCAAGGAAUAAUAAUCCAUACCCUUCACCUGCCGAGCUUCUGAUCUGAAAAGAAACAAGCUAAACAAGAGGAGGAUCAGAAGAGCACUUUCAGUCAAAGACCUUUGUGCUCUGCUCAUUUUAGUAUAUGAAAAUGGCAGAGAUUCUAUCCAAGUUAUAUAUAAUAGAAGGAUAUACUGUGCAUAUGCAAACUUGGAAUUUAAGCUGUAGAAGAAAAGCUAGAAUUAUUUGUGUUUAUAUAUAGCUUUGGAGGUGGCGUUUGGUUCUAAU